rnacentral:misc_RNA from 1 species
GAUGAAGAACGUAGCGAAAUGCGAUAAGUAAUGUGAAUUGCAGAAUUCAGUGAAUCAUCGAAUCUUUGAACGCACAUUGCGCCCGCCAGUAUUCUGGCGGGCAUGCCUGUUCGAGCGUCAUUUCAACCAUCAAGCCCCCGGCUUGUGUUGGGGACCUGCGGCUGCCGCAGGCCCUGAAAAGCAGUGGCGGGCUCGCUGUCACACCGAGCGUAGUAGCAUACAUCUCGCUCUGGGCGUGCUGCGGGUUCCGGCCGUUAAAAGCCUUAUUUACCCAAGGUUGACCUCGGAUCAGGUAGGAAGACCCGCUGAACUUAAGCAUAUCAAUAAGCGGAGGA